UACGAAGGGGACUAGCGUUGUUCGGAAUUACUGGGCGUAAAGCGCACGUAGGCGGAUUUGUUAGUCAGGGGUGAAAUCCCGGGGCUCAACCUCGGAACUGCCUUUGAUACUGCAAGUCUCGAGUCCGAUAGAGGUGGGUGGAAUUCCUAGUGUAGAGGUGAAAUUCGUAGAUAUUAGGAACAACACCGGUGGCGAAGGCGGCCCACUGGAUCGGUACUGACGCUGAGACGCGAAAGCGUGGGGAGCGAACAGG
rnacentral:rRNA from 1 species